UGCUAUGCAGCCAGAACCCACCU
rnacentral:piRNA from 1 species